GGAAAAGGAAACAGUGAUGACAAAGAGUUAAUAUCAAGAACAGUAACAACCACCCAGGACUCUGUACUGGAUUUGUCAGAAUGGAUGUGACAGUUAAACGGAAGCCUUAAUUGUUGGUAAGCCUAGCCCUUCUGUUAUCCAGACCCAUCCCUAUGCCAGUACAUUGCUUCUCCUCGUUUGAGUGACUGCUGUGAAGUUGUUUACAGACUAUUUCUCCUAUUUUCAGGCCACCUCCUGGAUCUCAGAUCCCACUCUUAUGGUGCAGUGACUAGGAUGCCUCUCCUUGACAAAGACAAGCGGGUAGCUCUUUAGUCUACGGUCCUGCAUAUGAACCACUACAUCUGAUAAGGGAACUGAGACUCAGAAAAAUGAAAUAAUUUCCAAGGGUGUGUUGGAACCAGUUCCGAUCCCAGAACCCAAUUAUUAAAUUUUUCCAGGAUGUUCUGCCAGCCAUCAAAAAUUUAACAGAGAAAACCAAGGUGGAUGGAAAAGCACAAGAGGAAGAAAGAUGGUGCCUUUUGCCCUGGGUUAUUGAUCUGACAACAUCUCUACAACCCAAGUAUUCUAUGCACUGGAGCACUUGGCUAAAAUAAUCUAUUCUAAGCUAAAAAUAUACAACUUCUCAGGAA